rnacentral:lncRNA from 10 species
UCGGCUCCUAGCAGCAGACAGACUCCAGCUACUUUAAGCCAAAAAAACAAAGAUUGAGGGUGGGCCCUGGACUCUCCGGAUAGGGCUUGAACAAACCCUAGGCACCCUGCCGGGGGCUCCCUAGGCCACAGGGCCACAGCCCACAGCCCACAGCCGGCGCCCAGCCUGGACAUGCCCGCAGACCUCGGGAGGGGGCCUUGGGCCGCAGCCUUCCCAGGGCAGAGGAGAAACUGGGAACUGGAGCCAGGACAGUGGGGUCCUCCCUCUGCUGCUGCCCACGUGGGGCUCCCUCUGGGCUGCCCUGCUGGUGAUGAGGAGCUUGAGAAUGUAUCGAACAGGCUGGAGUGCGGUGGCACAAUCAUAGCUGACCACAGCCUCAACCUCCCAGGCUCAAGCCGUCCUCCUGCCUCAGACUCCAGA